GCCACCAACUCGUGAAAAGCUAAACUUUUAUUUUUGCAUUACAAAAUUGGUUUAUGAUAGGCCAUAAUGCAUCUUCCCUUGCUUGUGAGACCAAACUUUACCUUACUCCAAAAUGGAAACCAGUUUUCUUAUCAUUUUUACAUUUCUAUUCCUCCAAAGAUUUGGCACAAGCAGAAACACCAUGAUUUCGACUUCUUCGAACGUUACUUGUAUCGAAAGGGAGAGGCUGUCCCUUCUUGUAUUCAAACAAACCCUCACAGACAGAUUUAAUCUACUGUCAACAUGGACAGGAGUAGAAGGUUGUGAGUGGCAGGGAGUUGGAUGCGAUAGUCGAAACCGUCAUGUUGUGAAACUUGAUCUUCGAGCUUCGACGUCUUUGAAGACGGAUGCCAACUUGCUCCAAGGUGAGUUGAGUCCUUCGCUACAGAAUUUAAAGCAUUUGCUUUACUUGGACUUGAGCAUGAAUGGUUUCUCAGGAAACAUUCCUGAAUUCUUAGGAUCGUUUGAACAUUUGAAAUACCUUAACUUGUCAUGCUCAGGUCUCGGUGGAGUAGUUCCACAUCAUCUAGGAAAUCUCUCAAGGUUACAAUAUCUUGAUCUUAGAAAUAGUUUUGUCCUAGAUCAGAUUCAUUAUGAUAAUCAUCGGACAGGUUCUCGUUUUGUUAAAUUUUCAAAAGUGUCCAUUAUGGAUGGUUUGGGAUGGGUGUCUUCGCUAUCAUCAUUAAGGCACUUGGAUUUAUCCGGUGUAACCAUUGGUAAACAUAUUGAUUGGUUCCAUCCAGUUAAUAUGCUCCCUUCUUUGCUUACGUUAAACCUGGCUUACUCCGAUAUAGAUAUCCCUUCCAUUAAAUUCGUCAAUUUCACGUCUCUUAAUUCACUUGACCUUUCUGGUAAUGGCAUCAGUUCCACCAUUCCUAUCUGGUUAUCGAACCUUACGGGCCUCAUGCAUCUUAACCUUUAUUCUAACGACUUCCAUGGUAAAAUUCCUGACUUUCUUGGAACGUUCAGAGAACUGGCUUCCAUCGACCUCUCGUCCAAUUCCCUUAACGCUUCGAUACCAGAUAUGUUAUGUAAUUUGAGCAGCCUCGUUCAUCUACAACUUUCAAGAAACAUGUUUUCUGGUCCUAUUCCUGCAAACCUUGGACUACUCUCGAGGAUAGAAGACUUGUAUCUAUAUAAUAACCAAUUGAGUGGGAACAUUCCCAUGAGUCUUGGCCAACUUUCAAAGCUAAAGAAUCUAGAUCUCUCCGACAAUUCAUUGGUUGGGGUUCUUUCCGAAACUCACUUCACCAAGCUAAAUAAUCUGAGUUAUCUGGCAUUGAAGUCGAACCCGCUAGCGUUGAAUUUCAGCACACAAUGGAUUCCUCCCUUCCAACUGCAAAUGUUUUUUGCAAGUUCUUGCAACAUCGGACCCCACUUCCCGAACUGGCUUCAAACACAGACAAAUCUUCAGAGAUUAGAUCUUUCUAACUCGAGUAUUAGAGAUUCACUACCAAAAUGGUUUGAGAAUAUAUUAUCUCGUAUUUCAGAAUUGGAUUUGUCCUAUAACCAAAUCAGUGGAAAACUGCCACGGUUUCAUGGAAAUAGUAGUAACCAGAUCCUGAAGAUGAACUCGAACAAAUUUGACGGAUCACUCGCUACAUUUCCAUCGAAUGUGAAAUAUUUGGAUCUUUCACAUAACUUACUCUCUGGGCAUAUUCCUCAAACUGAUGGAACAAUGAACCCAAAUCUAGGUAUACUUUAAUAUAACAGGGACAAUCCCUCGUUGCUUUGGAAAUUUAAGUGGCAUGAUGAUCGCGCCUUCGAUGGUAUACUUUAGAGAGUACUAUAUGUCUUAUUAUGAAGAAAAUCUAUUGGCUUCCAUGAAGGGAAGGCAGUUGGUGUACACUAAGACAAUAAAGUUUCUUACAUCCUUAGACCUCUCAAACAAUAAUAUUGUUGGAGAAAUUCCCGACACUCUAAUGAAUCUUGUGAGGUUAAAGAACUUGAAUCUUUCCGGAAACCUCCUAAAUGGAAAGAUUCCAACUAGCAUCGGAAAUCUAAAGCAACUGGAAUCUUUAGAUUUGUCGAUGAACAAGUUAUCUGGUCAGAUUCCUCAAAGUUUGACUAGCUUGAACUUUCUAAGCUACAUGAACCUGUCAUUCAAUAACUUAUCCGGCCAAAUUCCGGUUGGAAAUCAGAUCCAGACUCUAGAUGACCUGUCUAAUUAUAAAGGGAACAAUGGACUAUGCGGGCCACCAGUUUCGAGAAGAUGCAAUGUAAAUGAUGUACCAUACAAUUAUGUUGAUGAAGGUGAAGGUGAAGGUGAAGAUGAUACUGAAAGUGUGUGGUUGUAUGCUGGCAUGGGCCCGGGAUUCUUCGUUGGAUUCAUGGGACUACUUGGGAGUUUGCACCUUAACAGAAGGUGGCGGGUGGCUUACUUUGAGACUCUUGGAAAUGUUUACCGUUGGCUAACAGUAUCAAUUCUGCUUAAUCUGGCUAGCCUAAGGAGAAAAGUUUUCAAAUGAGGUCGACAGCCUUGAUUCUUGGCUGAACAUUGCUGCAAUCUUUUGUUCCGGACUGAUUUGUAAAAAGCUCUAAUGCUUAUUUUAAUGCUCUGAUACCAUGAAAGACAAGAUAGUUAGUUAUUACAAAAGUAUAUUUAUAAGGAAUUAUGAUUUCUUUCUCAUAUAUUAAAAUUAUUACAAAG